rnacentral:rRNA from 1 species
AACGAACGCUGGCGGCAGGCCUAACACAUGCAAGUCGAACGCCGUAGCAAUACGGAGUGGCAGACGGGUGAGUAACACGUGGGAACAUGCCCUUUGGUUCGGAAUAACUCAGGGAAACUUGAGCUAAUACCGGAUAAGCCCGAGAGGGGAAAGAUUUAUCGCCGAAGGAUUGGCCCGCGUCCGAUUAGCUAGUUGGUGAGGUAAUGGCUCACCAAGGCGACGAUCGGUAGCUGGUCUGAGAGGAUGAUCAGCCACACUGGGACUGAGACACGGCCCAGACUCCUACGGGAGGCAGCAGUGGGGAAUAUUGGACAAUGGGCGCAAGCCUGAUCCAGCCAUGCCGCGUGAGUGAUGAAGGCCCUAGGGUUGUAAAGCUCUUUCGCCAGGGACGAUAAUGACGGUACCUGGAUAAGAAGCCCCGGCUAACUUCGUGCCAGCCGCCGCCGUAACAC